rnacentral:lncRNA from 1 species
AUUUGACAAACAAACAACCUAUUCGUAACUGAUUAUUGUCAUUAAUAGUCUCGUACGUUAAAAUUUUUUUUAAAACGACACUUAAGUAAAAAGAUCAAACUUUUUGGUCUGAACCAAAAUUAUAUCCGUCACCGUUAAUGUCCAUUUCGCCACAUUAGAGAUCCACAGUUGUAUGCCACCUCAUCAUUAAUUCGAAUCAUUCAUUUACAAAUUAAAAACAAAAAACAAAAAUUCUUCUCUCCCUCGCCUCUUUCUCUCUUUUCCGUACCUCCCUCCAUUUUAUCUCCCUAUUUUUCAAAAGUAAAAAAAAACAGAGGACGUACCCUCUCCAAUGAGUAGUUGAAUCAUAGUUCUUCUCCCUUUCUUUUUUCCCUCUCUCCAUUUCAUCUCUCUGCUUCUCAAACUAAAAAAAAUAGAGGAGGUAGCCUUGAUGCCGUUUCCUAGUGGUAGUGGAGGAUUUCUCCAUAGAGUACGAGGUGGAGGAACUGGACGAGGAUUACGACACCGCGAUAGUAUACGAAGUAUGCCAUUGAAGCCAAGAUUCAGCAACGAUAGAACAAUAUACAUGCAAGCAUUUACAUUGGCUAGCUCAAAAUCAACUGCUGCUACGCAGGACUGCAUCAGUACAUCACUACAGACUCCUGCUAUCUCAUGUUAAUUGUCAAUUUCCAUUUUUCAUCGGAACAACCAAGACACAAAGACUGGCAAGUAUGUCUCCUAGAGCAGACGAGAGGCAAUCACUUUGAUAAUCAUGAAAAGCAAAGCAAAACAUCUCAUAUACCUGCUGCUGGUAAAGGGUCGUGACAGCUUCAAUCAUUAGCUCGGUCUGCAGAUGGCCAUCGACGUUGUUGUAACAACUACUGUUUUAACUCGUAUUUGAACAUAGCUAGACAUGAGAGUCGAUAAACAUGAUAGCUGGAAGUUACAUAGUCAGCGCCUUUUUGGUUAUAAUAAUGGAUGGAGAAAAGCUGAAUAGGCAACUCUGGAGGACACUCCUGGACAGAUUACUCUAGUUAAAAUACUUCAUUUGAUUUGGGUUGGAUCUGAAACUCAACUAAGGAAGGAGUGCACGUCCUCUUACAGUUGUGGGUAGUGCUAGGAUGAAGGUCUAUGGAGAAAUCCUCCACUACCAAUGGGAAAAGGCAUCAAGGCUACCUCCUCUGUUUUAUAGUUUGAGAAACAGAGAGAUGAAAUGGAGAGAGGGAAGAAAGAAAGGGACAGAGAGAUUAGAGGAGGA